rnacentral:rRNA from 1 species
ACGAACGCUGGCGGCAUGCCUAAUACAUGCAAGUCGAGCGGUGCAGCAAUGCAUAGCGGCGGACGGGUGAGUAACGCGUGGGCAACCUGCCUCAAAGAUUGGGAUAACACCCCGAAAGGGGUGCUAAUACCGAGUGUGUUCUAUGUGCUGCAUGGCAUGUAGAAGAUAGGAGAAAAUCCGUUUUGAGAUGGGCCCGCGUCUGAUUAGCUAGUUGGUAGGGUAAUGGCCUACCAAGGCGACGAUCAGUAGCCGACCUGAGAGGGUGAUCGGCCACACUGGGACUGAGACACGGCCCAGACUCCUACGGGAGGCA